GCAGCACAGAUGUGUAAUCCUCUCCC
rnacentral:piRNA from 1 species